rnacentral:lncRNA from 1 species
AGCACUGAUCUGAGGAGUCACUGAGAUCAUAUUUGUUAAGUGCUUAGAACAGAGUCAGGCAUAGCGUAAUAGAAAUAUUAUAGAAAUAUUUGAUGAAUGAGUGAAUGAAUGGUGUCUGUCUUGUAUUUAGGCUUUCAGUAUUUGUGGAAAGAGGGAGUUGAUGAACGCUGGGUCUAAAUGUUCCUACAUUCCACAUCCUUGAUGCUGAGCAGUCCCCAGGGGCAGCCACAGCUGCUGAAGUGGAGCAUCUCAGGCUCCGGAGAUGGGACCUGCUGCAGUCGUCAGCACAGAGAGAACUCUCCAGAACUGGAGACCCAGGAAAAAGUGCUUUUCUCCUCUUCUUUUUGUUUUAUGUUUGUUGCACAUCGAAAUCCCAGAAUCAGCUACGAGAAGGAAGGGAGUGAAGACUUUCAGAAGAAUUGGAUUUCUCACUACUGAAGUAGUAUUUCACGCAGACACUGCAUGUACAGGAGAGAAGAGACAAGAAAACUGAGGCCCAAGCAUUCUGCAACUUGCCAGGCUUCAGACAGCUCAGCUGGAGACCAAAUUCUGAGAUCCCUCUCUGUCUUCCCCAGCAUCACCCACAGAAUCCCCAUCUCCUUUCCCCUACACCUGCCUUCCAGGGGACAUCGGCAAUGUCUGGAGGUAUUUUUGGUUGUCACAACGGGGCGGGGGGGGGGGGGGGGGGGGGGGGGGG